UGGGGAAUAUUGGACAAUGGGCGAAAGCCUGAUCCAGCCAUGCCGCGUGUGUGAAGAAGGUCUUCGGAUUGUAAAGCACUUUAAGUUGGGAGGAAGGGCAUUAACCUAAUACGUUAGUGUUUUGACGUUACCGACAGAAUAAGCACCGGCUAACUCUGUUCCAGCAGCCGCGGUAAUACAGAGGGUGCAAGCGUUAAUCGGAAUUACUGGGCGUAAAGCGCGCGUAGGUGGUUUGUUAAGUUGGAUGUGAAAUCCCCGGGCUCAACCUGGGAACUGCAUUCAAAACUGACUGACUAGAGUAUGGUAGAGGGUGGUGGAAUUUCCUGUGUAGCGGUGAAAUGCGUAGAUAUAGGAAGGAACACCAGUGGCGAAGGCGACCACCUGGACUAAUACUGACACUGAGGUGCGAAAGCGUGGGGAGCAAACA
rnacentral:rRNA from 1 species